rnacentral:rRNA from 1 species
AGGACGAACGCUGGCGGCGUGCUUAACACAUGCAAGUCGAGGGCACUUUGGGGGCAACUCUGGAGUGACCGGCGAACGGGUGCGUAACACGUGAGCGACCUUGCCUCGUGGUGGGGGAUAGCCGGCCCAACGGCCGGGUAAUACCGCAUAGGGUAGUUUCUUCGCAUGGGGAGACUAGCAAAGCCUUGGAGCAAUCCAAUGGCGCCACAGGGGGGGCUCGCGGCCUAUCAGCUAGUUGGGGGGGUAAUGGCCCACCAAGGCGACGACGGGUAGCUGGUCUGAGAGGACGAUCACCCAGACUGGGACUGAGACACGGCCCAGACUCCUACGGGAGGCAGCAGUCGGGAAUUUUGCUCAAUGGACGAAGUCUGAAGCAGCAACGCCGCGUGAGGGAUGAAGGCCUUCGGGUUGUAAACCUCUUUUAUCAGGGACGAUAAUGACGGUACCUGAUGAAUAAGUCACGGCUAACUACGCGCCAGCACGCCGCGGU